AUGCUUAGAGAGGUGAAAGAAUUGAAGAAAGCGUUACGAGGAUGAUGACAAUUAUUGAUCUUGCUCGCAACAUUCGGGAGCGUCAUAACAAACCUCUUAAAACACCUUUGAGAGAAAUGAUAGUGGUUCAUCCUGAUAAAGAUUUUCUUGAUGACAUAGCCGGAAAGCUAAGAGAGUACGUUCUAGAGGAAUUAAAUAUAAGAUCUCUUAUCCCAUGCAAUGAUAC